GACGAACGCUGGCGGCGUGCCUAAUACAUGCAAGUCGAGCGGACCACUUCGGUGGUCAGCGGCGGACGGGUGAGUAACACGUGGGCAACCUGCCUGUAAGACUGGGAUAACACCGGGAAACCGGUGCUAAUACCGGAUAAUCCUUUCCUUCACAUGAAGGGAAGCUGAAAGACGGUUUCGGCUCUCACUUACAGAUGGGCCCGCGGCGCAUUAGCUAGUUGGGGAGGUAACGGCUCACCAAGGCAACGAUGCGUAGCCGACCUGGGAGGGUGAUCGGCCACACUGGGACUGAGACACGGCCCAGACUCCUACGGGAGGCAGCAGUAGGGAAUCUUCCGCAAUGGACGAAAGUCUGACGGAGCAACGCCGCGUGAGCGAUGAAGGCCUUCGGGUCGUAAAGCUCUGUUGUCAGGGAAGAACAAGUACCGGAGUAACUGCCGGUACCUUGACGGUACCUGACCAGAAAGCCACGGCUAACUACGUGCCAGCCGCCGCAGUAAGAC
rnacentral:rRNA from 1 species